AUGCGGUCAACCCUGAGUAUACCAGCCAACGUGCACGGAUCGUACCUGUGUCAAUUUGCGAGUCUUGUAGGAUAGGGUGGCGAAAUGGGAUCUCCCCGAGUUCCUACCGAUGACGGCCAUUACCUUUCGACGGAGUAACGAGACUCGCAUCGACGCGACGAAGCUAAUAAAGAUUACCAUCGAAUUCUGCAGCAUAGCACGCGGACGAGGCCGAGCGGAUCAACAUUUUUCCUACUUUUUGUCGUUCUCACUGACCUUAAAAAAAAGAGGCCUGGGCGAAAGAACCGUUGAAUGCGUAAGAAGUCGACUCUGCGUAACGAGGGGUUAGAAAUGUGAGCCGAGUGUUUCUGGAGCACAAUGGGUGCUACGUGCUGAUUGUAAAAAAUAGUGCACAGUGUUAAACGACACUUUCCCGGUCCCGUCUAACUCUAUAUUCGCUUUUAACACAAGGUCACUAAAAAAUAGACUAAAAUAGCUGAUCUGGAGGAUCACAGGGUUGUAAACUGACCUGAGAUAACCUGUUUUACUCGUUUCUUCUAUCUCUUCUAACGGUACAUUGUUCGCCUAUUUAUAGCUUUCACACGCAUACAAACGGUAUAUUAUCUCUUUAUUACAUUAUCGUAAUGCUAAUCGUGAGAAAAUAAACACAGCAUUGCAGAAUGUGGCGAUUAUAUGUAAUUACCGGAUAAUAAAUAAAUAAAACAGAUUUAUUUGGUGCGCUCGGUAUGCCGAAUGAUUGAAAGCGGAUCAGAUACGUAAAUGGAGAAUGGAAGAGGACCGAAUCCUGAGGCGUAACAACGGACCACCCUGCACGAAUGUCGAUUUAACAAACGAGCUGUAUGUGCGUGCGUGUCUCCGGCAAAUUGUCGGGGAUAUUUUUGACGUGCGGUGACGCAAUCCGAAAAUAUCGUUUUUGGUGCAUCGAAAUCACACUCAAUCGCGCCGAAGUGACGCGUUUCCCGAUGGUUCGUGGUAACACAUGCCAAGGACACGGAUAUGAAUCGGAAACGCCGCCAUAUGUUUUAAUUUGCGCUCUGAUCUUGAGAUGCGUGUUUCGCGCGUGAGACGCAUAAAAAGUCGUCCCGGCUUACUCUCACUGGGGCUUCCUCUCGCUGUAUAAGC